rnacentral:lncRNA from 1 species
GGAAGAGAUGGAGCGGCAGAGAGAGAGUUACCAGAGAGAGAUGACAGGCCUGAGAACAGACAAACAGAGACUGGAGGAGAAGGUUCUAGAGCUCAACCGACAGACCCAAGAGAACACCGACAGAAACGUUCUAGAACACAACCAAGAGAACACCGACAGAAACGUUCUAGAACACAACCAAGAGAACACAGACAGAAACGUUCUAGAACACAACCAAGAGAACACCGACAGAAACGUUCUAGAACACAACCAAGAGAACACCGACAGAAACGUUCUAGAACACAACCAAGAGAACACCGACAGAAACGUUCUAGAACACAACCAAGAGAACACAGGCAGAAACGUUCUAGAACACAACCAAGAGAACACAGACAGAAACGUUCUAGAACACAACCAAGAGAACACCGACAGAAACGUUCUAGAACACAACCAAGAGAACACCGACAGAAACGUUCUAGAACACAACCAAGAGAACACAGGCAGAAACGUUCUAGAACACAACCAAGAGAACACCGACGAGAGAAUCCGGUCAGAGUGUGAGGAGCGCCUGAGGGCGGAAUUUAAAGCGGAGCUUGACGCGGCUGUUGCCGCGAGCAACCAGAGAGAGCAGGAGCUGCAGACUCAACUAGCCGAUCUCCAAUCACAGGUAAUCUACUCAACUAGCCAAUCACCAAUCACAGGUAAUCUACUCAACUAGCCAAUCACCAAUCACGGGUAAUCUACUCAACUAGCCAAUCACCAAUCACAGGUAAUCUACUCAACUAGCCAAUCACCAGUCACAGGUAAUCUACUCAACUAGCCAAUCACCAAUCACAGGUAAUCUACUCAACUAGCCAAUCACAGAUAAUCUACUCAACUAGCCAAUCACCAAUCACGGGUAAUCUACUCAACUAGCCAAUCACCAAUCACAGGUAAUCUACUCAAUUAGCCAAUCACAGGUAAUCUACUCAAUUAGCCAAUCACCAAUCACAGGUAAUCUACUCAAUUAGCCAAUCACCAAUCACAGGUAAUCUACUCAAUUAGCCAAUCACCAAUCACAGGUAAUCUACUCAAUUAGCCAAUCACAGGUAAUCUACUCAAUUAGCCAAUCACCAAUCACAGGUAAUAUACUCAACUAGCCAAUCACCAAUCACAGAUGAUCACGGAGCUCUUCACUAACCACAGAUCUAGGAUCUGUCUGGAGGGGGGAUCUGAUCUAACCUCACUAUUGAUCUGAG